UGCAUUGUUAAAAAUGGAUUCAAUGU
rnacentral:piRNA from 1 species